rnacentral:rRNA from 1 species
CGACCGGCGCACGGGUGCGUAACGCGCAUACAAUCUACCUUAUACUGGGGGAUAGCCUUUAGAAAUGAAGAUUAAUACCCCAUGGUCUAUAGAUAUGGCAUCAUACUUAUAGUAAAGGUUACGGUAUAAGAUGAGUAUGCGUCCUAUUAGUUAGUUGGUGUGGUAACGGCACACCAAGACUACGAUAGGUAGGGGCCCUGAGAGGGGGAUCCCCCACACUGGUACUGAGACACGGACCAG